rnacentral:rRNA from 1 species
UACGGGGGGACACAGCUGUUGUGAUUUACUGGGCGUAAAGGGCGCGUAGGCGGCCACCGCAAGUCAGUUGUGAAAUCUCUGGGCUUAACCCAGAACGGUCAGCUGAUACUGCGGGGCUAGAGUGCAGAAGGGGCAACUGGAAUUCUCGGUGUAGCGGUGAAAUGCGUAGAUAUCGAGAGGAACACCUGCGGCGAAGGCGGGUUGCUGGGCUGACACUGACGCUGACAGCGCGAAAGUGUGGGGAUCAAACAGG